AGGAUGAACGCUGGCGGCGUGCCUAACACAUGCAAGUCGAACGAAGCACUUAGACAGAACCUUCGGGUGACGUAUUGGUGACUGAGUGGCGGACGGGUGAGUAACGCGUGGGUAACCUGCCCUGUACAGGGGGAUAACAGUUAGAAAUGACUGCUAAUACCGCAUAAGCGCACGAUGGUAGCAUUACCAGGUGUGAAAAAACUCCGGUGGUACAGGAUGGGCCCGCGUCUGAUUAGCUAGUUGGCGGGGUAAGAGCCCACCAAGGCGACGAUCAGUAGCCGGUCUGAGAGGAUGAACGGCCACAUUGGAACUGAGACACGGUCCAAACUCCUACGGGAGGCAGCAGUGGGGAAUAUUGCACAAUGGGGGGAACCCUGAUGCAGCCAACGCCGCGUGAGUGACGAAGUAUUUCGGUAUGUAAAGCUCUAUCAGCAGGGAAGAUAAUGACGGUACCUGACUAAGAAGCUCCGGCUAAAUACGUGCCAGCCGCCGC
rnacentral:rRNA from 1 species